GGGUUCGAUUCCGGAGAGGGAGCCUGAGAAACGGCUACCACAUCCAAGGAAGGCAGCAGGCGCGCAAAUUACCCAAUCCCGACACGGGGAGGUAGUGACAAUAAAUAACAAUACGGGGCUCUUUCGGGUCUCGUAAUUGGAAUGAGUACAAUUUAAAUCCCUUAACGAGGAACAAUUGGAGGGCAAGUCUGGUGCCAGCAGCCGCGGUAAUUCCAGCUCCAAUAGCGUAUAUUAAAGUUGUUGCAGUUAAAAAGCUCGUAGUUGAAUUUCGGGAUUGACACAUCGGUCGUGCCUUAAGGGGUAUGAACUGGUGUAGUCAAUUUCUCACCUUCUGGAGAACCACGAUGCCCUUAAUUGGGUGUCGCGNGGAACCAGGACCUUUACUUUGA
rnacentral:rRNA from 1 species